UGGGGAAUUUUGCACAAUGGGGGAAACCCUGAUGCAGCGACGCCGCGUGAUUUAGAAGGCCUUCGGGUUGUAAAAAUCUUUUGUAUGGGAAGAAAAUGACAGUACCAUAAGAAAAAGCCCCGGCUAACUACGUGCCAGCAGCCGCGGUAAUACGUAGGGGGCUAGCGUUGUCCGGAAUCACUGGGCGUAAAGGGUUCGCAGGCGGAAAUGCAAGUCAGGUGUAAAAGGCAGUAGCUUAACUACUGUAAGCAUUUGAAACUGCAUAUCUUGAGAAGAGUAGAGGUAAGUGGAAUUUUUAGUGUAGCGGUGAAAUGCGUAGAUAUUAAAAAGAAUACCGGUGGCGAAGGCGACUUACUGGGCUCAUUCUGACGCUGAGGAACGAAAGCGUGGGUAGCAAACAGG
rnacentral:rRNA from 1 species